GAUGAAGAACGCAGCGAAAUGCGAUAAGUAAUGUGAAUUGCAGAAUUCAGUGAAUCAUCGAAUCUUUGAACGCACAUUGCGCCCCCUGGUAUUCCGGGGGGCAUGCCUGUUCAAGCGUCAUUUCACCACUCAAGCCUCGCUUGGUAUUGGGCAACGCGGUCCGCCGCGUGCCUCAAAUCGACCGGCUGGGUCUCCUGUCCCCUAAGCGUUGUGGAAACUAUUCGCUAAAGGGUGUUCGGGAGGCUACGCCGUAAAACAACCCCAUUUCUAAGGUUGACCUCGGAUCAGGUAGGGAUACCCGCUGAACUUAAGCAUAUCAAUAAGCGGAGGA
rnacentral:misc_RNA from 1 species